rnacentral:rRNA from 1 species
GAGUUUGAUCCUGGCUCAGAUUGAACGCUGGCGGCAGGCCUAACACAUGCAAGUCGAACGGUAACAGGAAGAAGCUUGCUUCUUUGCUGACGAGUGGCGGACGGGUGAGUAAUUUCUGGGAAACUGCCUGAUGGAGGGGGAUAACUACUGGAAACGGUAGCUAAUACCGCAUAACGUCGCAAGACCAAAGAGGGGGACCUUCGGGCCUCUUGCCAUCGGAUGUGCCCAGAUGGGAUUAGCUUGUUGGUGGGGUAACGGCUCACCAAGGCGACGAUCCCUAGCUGGUCUGAGAGGAUGACCAGCCACACUGGAACUGAGACACGGUCCAGACUCCUACGGGAGGCAGCAGUGGGGAAUAUUGCACAAUGGGCGCAAGCCUGAUGCAGCCAUGCCGCGUGUAUGAAGAAGGCCUUCGGGUUGUAAAGUACUUUCAGCGGGGAGGAAGGGAGUAAAGUUAAUACCUUUGCUCAUCGACGUU